UACGGAGGGGGCUAGCGUUGUUCGGAAUUACUGGGCGUAAAGAGCUCGUAGGCGGCUUGUCACGUCGGCUGUGAAAACCCGGGGCUCAACCCCGGGCCUGCAGUCGAUACGGGCAAGCUAGAGUUCGGCAGGGGAGACUGGAAUUCCUGGUGUAGCGGUGAAAUGCGCAGAUAUCAGGAGGAACACCGGUGGCGAAGGCGGGUCUCUGGGCCGAUACUGACGCUGAGGAGCGAAAGCGUGGGGAGCGAACAGG
rnacentral:rRNA from 1 species